rnacentral:rRNA from 1 species
GAUGAACGCUGGCGGCGUGCCUAAUACAUGCAAGUCGAGCGAACAGACGAGGAGCUUGCUCCUCUGACGUUAGCGGCGGACGGGUGAGUAACACGUGGAUAACCUACCUAUAAGACUGGGAUAACUUCGGGAAACCGGAGCUAAUACCGGAUAAUAUAUUGAACCGCAGGGUUCAAUAGUGAAAGACGGUGUUGCUGUCACUUAUAGAUGGAUCCGCGCCGCAUUAGCUAGUUGGUAAGGUAACGGCUUACCAAGGCAACGAUGCGUAGCCGACCUGAGAGGGUGAUCGGCCACACUGGAGCUGAGACACGGUCCAGACUCCUACGGGAGGCAGCAGUCGGGAAUCUUCCGCAAUGGGCGAAAGCCUGACGGAGCAACGCCGCGUGAGUGAUGAAGGUCUUCGGAUCGUAAAACUCUGUUAUUAGGGAAGAACAAAUGUGUAAGUAACUAUGCACGUAUUGACGGUACCUAAUCAGAAAGCCACGGCUAACUACGUG